rnacentral:rRNA from 2 species
GGGUUGUGAGGUUAAGCGACUAAGCGUACACGGUGGAUGCCCUGGCAGUCAGAGGCGAUGAAGGGCGUGCUAAUCUGCGAUAAGCGCCGGUAAGGUGAUAUGAACCGUUAUAACCGGCGAUACCCGAAUGGGGAAACCCAGUGUGACUCGUCACACUAUCAUUAACUGAAUCCAUAGGUUAAUGAGGCGAACCGGGGGAACUGAAACAUCUAAGUACCCCGAGGAAAAGAAAUCAACCGAGAUUCCCCCAGUAGCGGCGAGCGAACGGGGAGGAGCCCAGAGCCUGAAUCAGCAUGUGUGUUAGUGGAAGCGUCUGGAAAGGCGCGCGAUACAGGGUGACAGCCCCGUACACAAAAGCGCAUGUGCUGUGAGCUCGAUGAGUAGGGCGGGACACGUGGUAUCCUGUCUGAAUAUGGGGGGACCAUCCUCCAAGGCUAAAUACUCCUGACUGACCGAUAGUGAACCAGUACCGUGAGGGAAAGGCGAAAAGAACCCCGGCGAGGGGAGUGAAAAAGAACCUGAAACCGUGUACGUACAAGCAGUGGGAGCACCCUUUGGGGUGUGACUGCGUACCUUUUGUAUAAUGGGUCAGCGACUUAUAUUCUGUAGCAAGGUUAACCGUAUAGGGGAGCCGUAGGGAAACCGAGUCUUAACCGGGCGUUAAGUUGCAGGGUAUAGACCCGAAACCCGGUGAUCUAGCCAUGGGCAGGUUGAAGGUUGGGUAACACUAACUGGAGGACCGAACCGACUAAUGUUGAAAAAUUAGCGGAUGACCUGUGGCUGGGGGUGAAAGGCCAAUCAAACCGGGAGAUAGCUGGUUCUCCCCGAAAGCUAUUUAGGUAGCGCCUCGUGAAUUCAUCUCCGGGGGUAGAGCACUGUUUCGGCUAGGGGGCCAUCCCGGCUUACCAACCCGAUGCAAACUGCGAAUACCGGAGAAUGUUAUCACGGGAGACACACGGCGGGUGCUAACGUCCGUCGUGAAGAGGGAAACAACCCAGACCGCCAGCUAAGGUCCCAAAGUCAUGGUUAAGUGGGAAACGAUGUGGGAAGGCCCAGACAGCCAGGAUGUUGGCUUAGAAGCAGCCAUCAUUUAAAGAAAGCGUAAUAGCUCACUGGUCGAGUCGGCCUGCGCGGAAGAUGUAACGGGGCUAAACCAUGCACCGAAGCUGCGGCAGCGACACUGUGUGUUGUUGGGUAGGGGAGCGUUCUGUAAGCCUGUGAAGGUGUGUCGUGAGGCAUGCUGGAGGUAUCAGAAGUGCGAAUGCUGACAUAAGUAACGAUAAAGCGGGUGAAAAGCCCGCUCGCCGGAAGACCAAGGGUUCCUGUCCAACGUUAAUCGGGGCAGGGUGAGUCGACCCCUAAGGCGAGGCCGAAAGGCGUAGUCGAUGGGAAACGGGUUAAUAUUCCCGUACUUGGUGUUACUGCGAAGGGGGGACGGAGAAGGCUAUGUUGGCCGGGCGACGGUUGUCCCGGUUUAAGCGUGUAGGUGUGUGUUCCAGGUAAAUCCGGUUCACUUUAACACUGAGGCGUGACGACGAGGCACUACGGUGCUGAAGCAACAAAUGCCCUGCUUCCAGGAAAAGCCUCUAAGCAUCAGGUAACAUCAAAUCGUACCCCAAACCGACACAGGUGGUCAGGUAGAGAAUACCAAGGCGCUUGAGAGAACUCGGGUGAAGGAACUAGGCAAAAUGGUGCCGUAACUUCGGGAGAAGGCACGCUGACACGUAGGUGAAGUGAUUUACUCAUGGAGCUGAAGUCAGUCGAAGAUACCAGCUGGCUGCAACUGUUUAUUAAAAACACAGCACUGUGCAAACACGAAAGUGGACGUAUACGGUGUGACGCCUGCCCGGUGCCGGAAGGUUAAUUGAUGGGGUCAGCGCAAGCGAAGCUCCUGAUCGAAGCCCCGGUAAACGGCGGCCGUAACUAUAACGGUCCUAAGGUAGCGAAAUUCCUUGUCGGGUAAGUUCCGACCUGCACGAAUGGCGUAAUGAUGGCCAGGCUGUCUCCACCCGAGACUCAGUGAAAUUGAACUCGCUGUGAAGAUGCAGUGUACCCGCGGCAAGACGGAAAGACCCCGUGAACCUUUACUAUAGCUUGACACUGAACAUUGAGCCUUGAUGUGUAGGAUAGGUGGGAGGCUUUGAAGUGUGGACGCCAGUCUGCAUGGAGCCGACCUUGAAAUACCACCCUUUAAUGUUUGAUGUUCUAACGUGGACCCGUUACCCGGGUUGCGGACAGUGUCUGGUGGGUAGUUUGACUGGGGCGGUCUCCUCCUAAAGAGUAACGGAGGAGCACGAAGGUUGGCUAAUCCUGGUCGGACAUCAGGAGGUUAGUGCAAUGGCAUAAGCCAGCUUGACUGCGAGCGUGACGGCGCGAGCAGGUGCGAAAGCAGGUCAUAGUGAUCCGGUGGUUCUGAAUGGAAGGGCCAUCGCUCAACGGAUAAAAGGUACUCCGGGGAUAACAGGCUGAUACCGCCCAAGAGUUCAUAUCGACGGCGGUGUUUGGCACCUCGAUGUCGGCUCAUCACAUCCUGGGGCUGAAGUAGGUCCCAAGGGUAUGGCUGUUCGCCAUUUAAAGUGGUACGCGAGCUGGGUUUAGAACGUCGUGAGACAGUUCGGUCCCUAUCUGCCGUGGGCGCUGGAGAACUGAGGGGGGCUGCUCCUAGUACGAGAGGACCGGAGUGGACGCAUCACUGGUGUUCGGGUUGUCAUGCCAAUGGCACUGCCCGGUAGCUAAAUGCGGAAGAGAUAAGUGCUGAAAGCAUCUAAGCACGAAACUUGCCCCGAGAUGAGUUCUCCCUGAGACUUAAAGUCUCCUGAAGGAACGUUGAAGACGACGACGUUGAUAGGCCGGGUGUGUAAGCGCAGCGAUGCGUUGAGCUAACCGGUACUAAUGAACCGUGAGGCUUAACCUUACAACGCCGAAG